rnacentral:rRNA from 1 species
GACGAACUGUGCAAACGUUAUUCGGAAUCACUGGGCUUAAAGGGUGCGUAGGCGGCGCGGUAAGUCGGGUGUGAAAUCUCGGAGCUUAACUCCGAAACUGCAUUCGAUACUGCCGUGCUUGAGGACUGGAGAGGAGACUGGAAUUUACGGUGUAGCGGUGAAAUGCGUAGAUAUCGUAAGGAAGACCAGUGGCGAAGGCGGGUCUCUGGACAGUUCCUGACGCUGAGGCACGAAGGUCAGGGGAGCAAACGGG